AUUGAACGCUGGCGGAAUGCUUUACACAUGCAAGUCGAACGGCAGCACGGGGCAACCUGGUGGCGAGUGGCGAACGGGUGAGUAAUACAUCGGAACGUGCCCAAUCGUGGGGGAUAACGUAGCGAAAGUUACGCUAAUACCGCAUACGAUCUACGGAUGAAAGCGGGGGAUCGCAAGACCUCGCGCGAGUGGAGCGGCCGAUGUCAGAUUAGGUAGUUGGUGGGGUAAAGGCUCACCAAGCCAACGAUCUGUAGCUGGUCUGAGAGGACGACCAGCCACACUGGAACUGAGACACGGUCCAGACUCCUACGGGAGGCAGCAGUGGGGAAUUUUGGACAAUGGGCGCAAGCCUGAUCCAGCCAUUCCGCGUGCAGGAUGAAGGCCUUCGGGUUGUAACUGCUUUGUACGGAACGAAACGGACGAGCUCUAAUACAGUUGCUAAUGACGGUACCGUAAGAAUAAGCACCGGCUAACUACGUGCCAGCAGCCGCGGU
rnacentral:rRNA from 1 species